rnacentral:rRNA from 1 species
UACAGAGGUCUCAAGCGUUGUUCGGAUUCAUUGGGCGUAAAGGGUGCGUCGGCGGCGCGGUAAGUCGGGUGUGAAAUCUCGGAGCUUAACUCCGAAACUGCAUUCGAUACUGCCGUGCUUGAGGACUGGAGAGGAGACUGGAAUUUACGGUGUAGCGGUGAAAUGCGUAGAUAUCGUAAGGAAGACCAGUGGCGAAGGCGGGUCUCUGGACAGUUCCUGACGCUGAGGCACGAAGGUCAGGGGAGCAAACGGG